CGUGUGGUGGGGCUGGAGGGGGUUGUCUAAGAAGGGCAUAAAGGCAACACUGCUUGAGGGAGGAAUUGCAGGGUGUAGCCUCAGGUAGGGCCACAGAACUGUCAUUCAGAGAGGUGGUUAGCAAUCUAUGCCUCUCCAAGCUCCCCGACACUCUUGACUGUAUUUUUGCCGGGAUGGCAGGAGCAUGUACUCGUGCGUGAUUAUAUUCCAAGAACGUGAUAGGCACGAGCUGUUUGGCCUACCCGGCAUCCGUGCAGCCUGCUGCUGGGAAGAAAACCCCAACGUCCUUUGGGAACUGCCCCCCACUCCAGGCCGUGUGCUCUCAUGGGGCCGAUUUGAUCCCCAACAGCCAGUAUGAACACGGGUCAUGGGCCUGAUCAAUCAGGACCCAGUGAUUGGCUCAGGAGGGGGCACAUGACCCAGGGUGGGCCAAUCAAACGGAAUCCUGGGGCUUCUGCGGGAGCAACGGAAACAGAGACACUCUGAAACAGAGACACCGUCUCUUGUAAAUAAAAAGACCCGGUGACCAUCUUCCACACCCUGUUCUGUGGCUUGAGAGACUGAUUACCCGCACAGCUAUGAGAACUUCCUUGCUCUCUGGCUUCCAGUUGGGUGUGGCCAAUGGAAGACCCCAGCAAGACUGAGGAGGUUUCAGGUGCCCAACACAGUGAUUCGGCAAGUUGAGACGUUAUGUUAUCCUCACCACAAAUGUAACCCUGUUUGUACAGCCAUGCUUCUGGGUUCUCUGCCAGUUACUCCUUUUCUUAGACCUCCACAGAUACAACCUAGGGUGCUGCCCGAUCCCUUGUCAGUGUCCUCAAACCCGCCUACUCCUUUGUCAAUAGUCCUCUAUUUCCCCUCACCAUCUGUUACCUUGUUUGGGUGGCCUUGUUUGUUUCCUUUGGAAGCCCUCACCGAUUCCUUGUUGUUCACUGAGUUUUAGGUAUCGUUUAUGUCUCUCGAAGACUUUUCCUCAGCCGCUAUCACGAUACAUUUUCUCUGGGGCGUGGCAAACCCCCUCUUGGCAGAGGAACAGUCAGAAGCCCAGAGAGGUAAAGCGCUUUGCCCAAGGUCACACGGCUAAGGAGCAGAGAGCCGCGUGGGUGGACCCAGAAACCAUUACCAUUGCCUCUGCUGGUUUCCCCCCCAGCCCCACCUCCCCUGGCCCGAGCAGCACCGUGGGGUAACAGGCCGGCUUCCUCCUGGGCCAACGGGGAAACUUUCCGACACAAAUGAUCAGAGGAGCUGGGCUGUGGGAGAGGCUUCAGGAAAGAGCCAAAAAACAGCAAAGGAUUCAGAGCUAGAGACUGAGUUUUUAAUAAUAAAUAAACGCCGAGAUCGGGCCCUUCACAUGGAAACCUCGGGGUGCCUGCAGCCAGCAUGGGGUGCCCAGGAAGCCACCCGCCCUCGGCCUACAGGAUUCUCUGGUCAUCCUCCAAAUGGUCGGUGGGACGGGGUCUUGGGGGAUGAUCUUCAAACCCCAGAGGGGAGGAACAGUGAAUAUUCUGGGAUGAUAUUUUUUUCGUACAAAUAAAA